ACUUUACAAUGCGAGCAAUCGUGAUAAGGAAACCCUGAGUGCCUGUCAAUGCAGGCUGUUCUGGUGUCUAACACACACCAGGAGAAAGGGCGGGGCAAGACCGGUGCCAGCCGCCGCGGUAAUACCGGCUGCUCGAGUGAUAGUCACUUUUACUGGGCUUAAAGCGUUCGUAGCUUGGUCGUUAAGUCUCUGGGGAAAUCUUUUGGCUCAACCAAAAGGCGUCUCAGGGAAACUGACGAUCUUGGAACCGGGAGAGGUAAGACGUACUUCGGGGGUAGGAGUGAAAUCUUGUAAUCCCCGAGGGACGACCGAUGGCGAAGGCAUCUUACCAGAACGGCUUCGACAGUGAGGGACGAAAGCUGGGGGAGCAAACCGGAUUAGAUACCCGGGUAGUCCCAGCCGUAAACGAUGUGCGUUAGGUGUGUCAGUGACCACGAGUCGCUGAGGUGCCGAAGGGAAACCGUGAAACGCACCGCCUGGGAAGUACGGUCGCAAGGCUGAAACUUAA
rnacentral:rRNA from 1 species